AUUAGAAACAAGGAUUGCUUAAUUGAUUCAAAAUUUUAUUAAAUUUAGAUUGGAUUUGAACAGGAAGAGGGGGAACUGAACUCUGAUAUAAGAAUCUGUUUGAGAAGUUUAAUUAUUGAAGUUUCCAUCUUUUUUCUUGAAUUAAUCUCAUUUUAAUUCAAAAAACUGAAAAUCGCUUCUCAUCAUAAGAAUACUUCCUUGAACGAUUUG